AUCUGGUCUUGAGAAAGGCGGAGGUCUCGAAACCCUUGAAUCGGGAGAAAUUGUCCCCAAACUGGGAGGAACCCUACAAGGUAGCCGAUACCUACGGACCGAGAGCUUACCAAUUGGAGACCCUAGAAGAGACGGCCAUCCCCCGGACUUGGAACGCCGACAAUCUGAGAAUGUACUAUCUGUGAACUCUGUAUCUCCCUCACUUGGAAUGCGACC
rnacentral:lncRNA from 1 species